AUGUCGGAAAUCAUCUUGGAAAACAAACCUAAGCUCAUCAAAUGGCUUAGUUUGGAUUAUAAAUUUGUUUUGCAACAUGUUCAAGCUAAAAAACUUAUAACACAGUCGCACUAUGAUGACUUGAUGGCCAUGAAGGCGAGCGACAGUAUCAUCAAACUUCUGGACAUCAUCCGUAGAAGAGGAGAAAAUGUGUGUCGAGAUUUUCUGGAUUUGCUAAAAGAUGAUGAUGUGAAUGAAAUAUCGCCGGAGCUAAGAGACUGGGUCAAAACAGUUGACUCAGAAGACCAAGAAACCUGAUAGAGACUGUGAACACAGGCCAGUACAAGAUUAUCAGAAGUUUCUAAAAUAAAACACCAGUCUGCUGGUUCA
ensembl:lncRNA